CCUACGGGUGGCAGCAGUGAGGAAUAUUGGUCAAUGGGCGAGAGCCUGAACCAGCCAAGUCGCGUGAAGGAUGACGGCCCUACGGGUUGUAAACUUCUUUUGUCAGGGAGCAAUUGAGUCCACGUGUGGGCUUAGCGAGAGUACCUGAAGAAAAAGCAUCGGCUAACUCCGUGCCAGCAGCCGCGGUAAUACGGAGGAUGCGAGCGUUAUCCGGAUUUAUUGGGUUUAAAGGGUGCGUAGGCGGAAUGUCAAGUCAGCGGUAAAAAUUCGGGGCUCAACCCCGUCGUGCCGUUGAAACUGAUGUUCUUGAGUGGGCGAGAAGUAUGCGGAAUGCGCGGUGUAGCGGUGAAAUGCUUAGAUAUUGCGCAGAACCCCGAUUGCGAAGGCAGCGUACCGGCUCCACACUGACGCUGAGGCACGAAAGCGUGGGUAUCGAACAGGAUUAGAUACCCCUGUAGUC
rnacentral:rRNA from 1 species